UGUGGGCACCGAAGAACAGGGGGGGCCAGGCCCAGUUGAGCGCCAGCUGAGCCCCGUAGAGCCCCAUGGGGACGAUGGCCUUGCUGCCACAGCCACCCAGGUCGUUCCACACCAGAUGUCUAUGGCAGAAAAAACCUUCCAGUGGCUUGAAGCACUCCAGGAACCCACGGCAGAGAGGACUCGGCUGUAAAAGAGGGGAGCUGAGGCACAGGGGGAGGCUCUCAAUUUGUUCACGGACUCCUUUUGUAUAAAACAGAGGGAAAUUUGCUUUAAUAAUAAAAAUGUUCCCACACGAUGCAGGGUAACACCAGGACACA